AGCGAACGCUGGCGGCAGGCCUAACACAUGCCAGUCGAACGAACUCUUCGGAGUUAGUGGCGGACGGGUGAGUAACACGUGGGAACGUGCCUUUAGGUUCGGAAUAACUCAGGGAAACUUGAGCUAAUACCGGAUGUGCCCUUCGGGGGAAAGAUUUAUCGCCUUUAGAGCGGCCCGCGUCUGAUUAGCUAGUUGGUGAGGUAAAGGCUCACCAAGGCGACGAUCAGUAGCUGGUCUGAGAGGAUGAUCAGCCACAUUGGGACUGAGACACGGCCCAAACUCCUACGGGAGGCAGCAGUGGGGAAUCUUGCGCAAUGGGCGAAAGCCUGACGCAGCCAUGCCGCGUGAAUGAUGAAGGUCUUAGGAUUGUAAAAUUCUUUCACCGGGGACGAUAAUGACGGUACCCGGAGAAGAAGCCCCGGCUAACUUCGUG
rnacentral:rRNA from 1 species